rnacentral:rRNA from 1 species
AUGGAUGGCCGGCUCUGCCAGGCCAGGACAACCUCGCUACCGCAGGACCUUCCCGACCCGCCUUCUUCCGUGAGCUCCCGAGGUGCCAACCUCCCAUCAGCGAGAUCCGGCGAUGCCGGCCACCAGGACUCGCUGCUGCUCUGGCACAACCACCUCCGGUCUUCAACCCCGACGCCCACCAUGGCCCUCCUCGCGCUGCUGCUCCUUGGAGUCGCCCCUGACAGCAUCCAGCACGACCUCGAGGCCGCCCCCUUUCCCCCGCACAGGAGCUCGUAG